AGGUGAACAUGCUGGUGGAGUUUAUGAUGGAGAACCUCAGUGACAUCUUUUGGGAGGAGACAGCUGGUCUCUCCUGUCCGUCUUCCAAGGAGUCACCAGUACCCAUGGAAAGAUCCACUGAUGGGCAUGUGGAAGAGCAAAGUGGCCCUGCAGGCAGAGUAGACAAGGACCAUCAGGUAAAAUCCUUUCUGGAUGCCCCCCCUCUCUGCAGAACAGCCUCCAAGAAGCUGGGUGAAGCACAGUGGUGGAGGGUGAAAUGGCAGAGGCAUGACCAUUCCAGAAAAAUCAGGACAACUUGUCCUGGGUCAGAGGUUUGUUUUUGUCGAGGCCAAGGAGCUGCUGUGCCUCCUCCUGGCAGCUGAUCCCUCAUGCGUUUGGGAUUCCUUUUCCUCGUGGAAUUAUACACUGUAAGGAAAACAAAUGGUGAAUGAUGCGAACCAGGAUCUUCUCUGUAGAUUUAAGGUGUUGAUUUGGCAGUCUGUCACCAACUACUCCAUGUCUUCUCUUGCCGCAUUUUAACUCCCAUAUUUCUCAUUCAGGCACCUCCAACUUUUCCUCCAAGCACCGCCGAGAGUGCGGCAGAGUCCCUGGGUCGCCCGGAACAGCUGAGGACUCUUUCAGAGGAUAGAAGGUAAAAAGAGCUCACGUUUCUUAAAAUCAGUACUGACCAAAUGUGGCUGUAAUUAAACUAAGAACUUUGCCAGUGGAUUGUGUCUUUCCCUGUCUAAUCACAUUGUGGGAUGGAAAGGUUUGCAGGCUCUGCCCAGGACAAGGAAAUCAGAAGAAACUGCAAGAGAAGACAUGCCGGUGGAGAUGAGGGUGACAUUGACAUAGAAGAGAAGAGGAGGAAGAGAAACAACGUGUUUGGGGAUGGAAAACUAAGAAGAUACAGGAAGGUGCAGAGGUUCAGGAAGCCCAGGUCCCGUCUUCCUUUGACCGGUUGUGCCCUGUGAUUCUUGGUGUUGAAUGUUUGGAAUAAAGUGUUUUGGAAGUUACAAGAAAGUGUUUUUAAAAUGUUCACUUCCCCGCGGUUGAUGUUCACAAUA